GACGAACGCUGGCGGCGUGCUUAACACAUGCAAGUCGAACGGAAAGGCCCUGCUUUUGUGGGGUGCUCGAGUGGCGAACGGGUGCGUAACACGUGAGUAACCUGCCCUUGACUUUGGUAUAACUUCAGGAAACUGGGGCUACUACCGUAUAGCAGCUCCUGCUGCAUGGUGGGGGUUGGAAAGUUCCGGCGGUUGGGGAUGGACUCGCCGCUUAUCAGCUUGUUGGUGGGGUAGUGGCUUACCAAGGCCUUGACGGGUAGCCGGCCUGGGAGGGUGACCGGCCACAAUGGGACUGAGGUACGGUGCAGACUGCUACGGGAGACAGCAGUGGAGAAUAUUGUACAAUGGGAGGGAGCCUGAUGCAGAAACGCCGCGUGCGGGAUGACGGCCUUCGGGGUGUGAACCGCUUUCGCCUGUGACGAAGCGGGAGUGACGGUAAUGGGUAAAGAAGCACCGGCUAACUACGUG
rnacentral:rRNA from 1 species